GUCUUAUCAAGAGUGGACGAGAGAUCGGGCUCUAUGACUCCACAGCAACCUGCGUAUUACGCAAGGUGCUCCAACCCGCAAAGCGUCUUUCGCUUUGGAUGAUAAGAA
rnacentral:ncRNA from 2 species